GUGGGGAAUCUUAGACAAUGGGGGAAACCCUGAUCUAGCCAUGCCGCGUGAGUGACGAAGGCCUUAGGGUCGUAAAGCUCUUUCGCUGGGGAAGAUAAUGACGGUACCCAGUAAAGAAACCCCGGCUAACUCCGUGCCAGCAGCCGCGGUAAUACGGAGGGGGUUAGCGUUGUUCGGAAUUACUGGGCGUAAAGCGCACGUAGGCGGGCUGUUAAGUCGGGGGUGAAAUCCCGGGGCUCAACCCCGGAACUGCCUUCGAUACUGGCAGCCUUGAGUUCGAGAGAGGUGAGUGGAAUUCCGAGUGUAGAGGUGAAAUUCGUAGAUAUUCGGAGGAACACCAGUGGCGAAGGCGGCUCACUGGCUCGAUACUGACGCUGAGGUGCGAAAGCGUGGGGAGCAAACAGGAUUAGAAACCCCUGUAGUCC
rnacentral:rRNA from 1 species